rnacentral:rRNA from 1 species
CACGUAAGGUGCGAGCGUUGUUCGGAAUCAUUGGGCGUAAAGGGCAUGUAGGCGGUCCUGCAAGUCUGGAGUGAAAUGCCGGGGCUCAACCCCGGAACUGCUUUGGAAACUGUGGGACUGGAGUCACCGAGGCGGAGCCGGAAUUCCAGGUGUAGGGGUGAAAUCUGUAGAUAUCUGGAAGAACACCAAUGGCGAAGGCAGGCUUCGAGCGGAUGACUGACGCUGAGGUGCGAAGGUGCGGGGAGCAAAC